GGAGCGGUAGUUCAGCUGGUUAGAAUACCUGCCUGUCACGCAGGGGGUUGCGGGUUCGAGUCCCGUCCGUUCCGCCA
rnacentral:tRNA from 1 species